UUCAUUGAGUCCUUUCAUAACAGCAGAGCUUUGAUGAGCUUUGUGCUGAUGGAAGGAGGAUCAGGAAUAGAGCAGAGGACCUGCUGAUCUACUGGUUCUAGUAGAUUUUAUAAAUGCAUGACUGAGACAAGUCAACAUCACUGGACCAAUGAGGAGAGAGAAGACACAGAGGACUGAGGAGACGCAGGAAAUCCUGCUGGGAAUCCAGAGAAGUUUCCUGUUGCAUCAGGGGGACAGCUGAGGACGAGACGCAGAAUAAAGAGACGGAGAUCAUGUGAAAUUCAAGGAUGGCCUUUCAACCCUGGAUGUCAUUUUUGCUUCGGAGCUUCAUGCUUCUGUGUUCAGGCCCUUUAUGUGCACAAGGGUGGAAAAGCUGACAUCAGAAAUGUUAGAGGAAAUCUUUGAAGUUCAGCUCAGCAAAAAGGACAUCACCAGACGACAAGAAGAAACCAGACUGCAAGGAUUCUCCUUGAGACAGACCAAACCUCGCUUUCCUGUUCAAACACUGUCAAGAUACCAAAGCCCAAAACAAAUGAUCAAUUCCAAAAAAAACAUGGACUUUGGGAUAAAAACUCUUUGGACUUUAUUAAGUUCAAAUACAGAAUCACAAAACAUAAAUGUGGAUGUUGGCCUGUGAAGGCAGAUGUUAACUUGUGAAACCUGCUCUGUUCAACUGUCACUACCAACUGUUAUGACUAUUGUUGAAAACUGUUGUAAUGCUUCAUUGUAUUUACAUGUAAAUAUUAGAAAUGAAAAUUUUUAUGUCAUCAAAAAUUGUUGCAAUAAAAAGUGACAUACUAUUAA